AUUGAACGCUGGCGGCAGGCCUAACACAUGCAAGUCGAGCGGAUGACGGGAGCUUGCUCCUUGACUCAGCGGCGGACGGGUGAGUAAUGCCUAGGAAUCUGCCUGGUAGUGGGGGACAACGUUUCGAAAGGAACGCUAAUACCGCAUACGUCCUACGGGAGAAAGCAGGGGACCUUCGGGCCUUGCGCUAUCAGAUGAGCCUAGGUCGGAUUAGCUAGUUGGUGGGGUAAUGGCUCACCAAGGCGACGAUCCGUAACUGGUCUGAGAGGAUGAUCAGGCACACUGGAACUGGGACACGGUCCAGACUCCUACGGGAGGCAGCAGUGGGGAAUAUUGGACAAUGGGCGAAAGCCUGAUCCAGCCAUGCCGCGUGUGUGAAGAAGGUCUUCGGAUUGUAAAGCACUUUAAGUUGGGAGGAAGGGCAGUAAGCUAAUACCUUGCUGUUUUGACGUUACCGACAGAAUAAGCACCGGCUAACUCUGUGCCAGCCGCCGCAGUAA
rnacentral:rRNA from 1 species